UUAUUGGUAGUAAUCUUAGUUUGUCGACAUCUGCAUUCGUGAAUUCUUAGUUGCAUAACAUGUUAGCAUAUGUUGAUUGUAUGUUAAUUUAAAGGGGGGCAACAAACGAUGACAUUGAGAACAACAAAUAAAAGACAUGCCAACUAACAGUGAAGAACAUUUUCUUGGAAAAUUGAUCAAAUUGGCAAGCAAUCAAGAGACAGUUCUUUGUUUGAUUUGGCGGGAUUUGAGCUAUUCUCACUCAUAUUCUUAUAAUCUAUUGCUAUUUUAUCUUCUACUUUAGAUGACAUAUUUGGGUCUGAAGCUCGAUGACAAUCAGUAGUAUUGGGAACCACUUGCCUCCAUCCUCUCCGCCUCUCUUUUACCAAUCCCAGGUACUGAAUACGAAACCCCAUUGUCUAGCAAGAAUAGCUUGUGGCUUACUUCAGUUUGAUUUCUUUAUAUCAGAGCUUAAGUUUUAGUUGUGGUAUUUCUCUUGGAGGUAUUGUCUCCAAUCUGGAAUCAAUAUUGCUAUUGUGUACCAAAGAACGUACUAUUGACAUGUUUAAGCAUCAUACUAAUAUACAACUAAUAGUUACAGGGCCAUGCAUCACAAGGAUAAAAGGAUGAAUCCUAGUUUUGAUGCAAAAAUUGAGUAUAACUAGGGACAACGUGGCCUAACAAAGUAGGCUACUUAUUCUAGUGCUGGUGCCUUUGUUUUGAACAAGGACAACCACAAUUAGGAGGCAAAAA